AACUACAUAUUAUUUUCUCUUACUACAGGUAUUCUUUCCUAAAGUGGUAACAAUGUAUGUUUUGGGUGGCUUAGCUAUUACAAUUUAUGGCUUGAGGUUUCCUGAAUGUAUUUUCCCAGGUGAUGAAAUCUCUUAUAUGUUGCUCUUCAGGCUGCAAAAUCUUUCCAUUAAUUAUCAAAAUGUUUAUCUUACUGUAUCUGUAUUUAUUCGUUAAACUAACUUUAUGUAUGCUGGAUAGCUCUGUCAGUUCUAAACUGUUCUUCCUAGAGGUCCAGUAACGAUCAUCUCUUAUUGAUCCAGUGUUACUACAGGAGGAAACCUAAACUAAACUAACUUUAUUUAUACUGGAUAACUCUAUCAGUUCUGAACUGUUCUUCCUAGAGGUCCAGUAAGGAUCAUCUCUUAUUGAUCCAGUGUUACUACAGGAGGAAACCUAAACUAAACCAACUUUAUUUGUACUGGAUAGCUCUAUCAGUUCUAAACUGUUCUUCCUAGAGGUCCAGCAAGGAUCAUCUCUUAUUGAUCCAGUGUUACUACAGGAGGAAACCUAAACUAAACUAACUUUAUUUAUACUGGAUAGCUCUAUCAGUUCUAAACUGUUCUGCCAUUACCUUAUUCAUUCAUUCAUUCUCUUUCAGGUCGUCUAAACUACAUUGGAGCAAGUCAUCAAUGUUGGCACAUCAUUAUAGUUCUAGCAUUUUGUUGGUGGUACAAAGCCAGUGUACAGUUCUUUCAUUUCCGUCAACAGUAUGGAUGUAU